UUCCUACGGGGGGCAGCAGUGGGGAAUAUUGGACAAUGGGCGAAAGCCUGAUCCAGCCAUGCCGCGUGAGUGAUGAAGGCCCUAGGGUUGUAAAGCUCUUUCAACGGUGAAGAUAAUGACGGUAACCGUAGAAGAAGCCCCGGCUAACUUCGUGCCAGCAGCCGCGGUAAUACGAAGGGGGCUAGCGUUGUUCGGAUUUACUGGGCGUAAAGCGCACGUAGGCGGACUAUUAAGUCAGGGGUGAAAUCCCGGGGCUCAACCCCGGAACUGCCUUUGAUACUGGUAGUCUCGAGUCCGGAAGAGGUGAGUGGAAUUCCGAGUGUAGAGGUGAAAUUCGUAGAUAUUCGGAGGAACACCAGUGGCGAAGGCGGCUCACUGGUCCGGUACUGACGCUGAGGUGCGAAAGCGUGGGGAGCAAACAGGAUUAGAUACCCGAGUAGUCC
rnacentral:rRNA from 1 species